AAAUAUGGGGAGACUUAAGGGCACUAUUGAGAGGACUGAAGACUGGGUGGAUUUCCAUGCAAAAUCGUGAAAGUAUGCAUUUUCAUAUUGAAAUUAACCUCGUCUGUGCACUAAAAAGCCACUGCCAUGCCUGUCAAUACACAGUUAUUUUGGAGCGGAAGGAUAAGAUCUGUGUUUUCUACUGAAACUUAGAUACGCCGGAGGAGAAAAGGUCAUGUGUGACAUGGCCAAAAGGGUAACACAGUCACCAAUAGCCAAUCACAAUGGUUGCAGUGAACUUAUUAAUGUAGGGGGGUUAGCCAAAAGCAAUUUACCCUGUACAUACACCUUUGUUUAACAUGAAUAAAAAAAUGUAUACCCUUUUU